GUGAGUAUUAUGGUUCUCAAUUCUAGAUGCUUUUAUUAAUAGAAAGAAGUCCAUUUAAGCCAAUGUUGGUUGUCUCUCAUUCCCUCAAAAUACUUUCAAUUUCCUCGUCUUUAGCAUUAAAUGUAUGAAGCAUACGAAACUUAUGUUUUGUAUCUGACCAUUCCAAUAUAUUCAGGCUGGUUGCCAGCCUGACUCUUUUUAUCAUGUCUACAGAUUCAUUCAUGAAGAAUUAUUUGCACAUAUGUCUAUCCCCCAAAGGGUCAUUUUCAUCUGACACUGAAGAUCACUCACGACAUGGGCACUAGCAGGCUCUCGCCGCACAGGCAACGACCGCGAGAAACACACAACACCACGAGCUUGCACCUGCCUGGAAAGCCCACGCGUCUCACGCUGAGAAGCCACACAAAGGCUUUUCCCUUGCUCGAGGACAAAACGGCUUGAACUCUGCUUUGCUUUUGUUUCACACUGAGUCUGCUCCCCUCUGCCAGAUGACCACAUCAAAAGUGAUUCCCCUGGGGAAAGCACAGGCAGAACACUCUGACAGAAUUCAAAGAAGAUCUGUACAUCUGAAACUAACACAACAUUGUAAACCAACCGAAGUCCAGUAUAAAACAGAAAUUUUUUUAAAAAAAGAAAAGAUACACGCCCCUCCAUGUUCAUAGCAGCACUAUUUACAACAGCCAAGACAGGGAAGCAACCUAAAUGCCCACUGACAGGGAAAUGUAUAAAGACGUGGUCCAUAUAUACAAUGGAAUGUUAUUCAGUCAUUAAAAAGAAGGAAAUAAUGCCUUCUGCAGCAACAUGGAUGGACCUAGAGAUCAUCAUAC
ensembl:lncRNA